GACGAACGCUGGCGGCGUGCUUAACACAUGCAAGUCGAACGGUGAAGCUCCAGCUUGCUGGAGUGGAUCAGUGGCGAACGGGUGAGUAACACGUAAGCAACCUGCCCCUGACUCUGGAAUAAGCGCUGGAAACGGCGUCUAAUACUGGAUACGAGAAGGGUCCGCAUGGGCACUUUCUGGAAAGUUUUUCGGUUGGGGAUGGGCUCGCGGCCUAUCAGCUUGUUGGUGAGGUAAUGGCUCACCAAGGCGACGACGGGUAGCCGGCCUGAGAGGGCGACCGGCCACACUGGGACUGAGACACGGCCCAGACUCCUACGGGAGGCAGCAGUGGGGAAUAUUGCACAAUGGGCGAAAGCCUGAUGCAGCGACGCCGCGUGAGGGAUGACGGCCUUCGGGUUGUAAACCUCUUUCAGCAGGGAAGAAGCGAAAGUGACGGUACCUGCAGAAGAAGCACCGGCUAACUACGUG
rnacentral:rRNA from 1 species